CUGGGAAGGAGGUGCAGCAGACGUCACAUGUGAUGAAAACAGCUCAACACCACCUGGCAGUGAACCACCGCCUCCAACACCAUCAACAAGCACUGGAACCAGAAGGGAACAGGAAGUACAUGGAGAGAUGGGACGACAAGUUCCUCCAGC